rnacentral:rRNA from 1 species
GAUGAACGCUGGCGGCGUGCCUAAUACAUGCAAGUCGAGCGAACAGACGAGGAGCUUGCUCCUUUGACGUUAGCGGCGGACGGGUGAGUAACACGUGGAUAACCUACCUCUAUUACUGGGAUAACUUCGGGAAACCGGAGAUAAUACCGGAUAAUAUAUUGAACCGCAGGGUUCAAUAGUGAAAGACGGCUUUGCUGUCACUUAUAGAUGGAUCCGCGCCGCAUUAGCUAGUUGGUAAGGUAACGGCUUACCAAGGCAACGAUGCGUAGCCGACCUGAGAGGGUGAUCGGCCACACUGGAACUGAGCCACGGUCCAGACUCCUACGGGAGGCAGCAGUAGGGAAUCUUCCGCAAUGGGCGAAAGCCUGACGGAGCAACGCCGCGUGAGUGAUGAAGGUCUUCGGAUCGUAAAACUCUGUUAUUAGGGAAGAACAAAUGUGGAAUUAAAUAUGCACGUCUUGACGGUACCUAAUCAAAAAGCCACGGCUAACUACGUG